rnacentral:misc_RNA from 1 species
AAGCCAAUCUUCUCAGUAGGUGAUUUCUUAGAUAAGUUGGACAAAAAGGACAAGGGGAAAACAAAAGCUGCCCUUCCAACCAUAACAAGAGCUAGUAGUAUUGAACUAACUGCAACCGAUGUUCCAGGGCUAUCGCUGACAAAUCUCCACUUCUCAAUGUCCAAGGCAUCCAUACCAACAUAAAGGAAGAUAAAAAUCUCAGCAACAAAUGACAAGGUGGUUGCAAAAGCAUGCUUGGUUGUGACUCUAGAACUCUCAGUCACAUUGUGCCAUGUGUAAUGGGACAU